rnacentral:tRNA from 1 species
GCCGGGGUGGCGUAAUGGAAGCCGCGCGCGACUCAAAAUCGCGUGGAGAAAUCCGUGGGGGUUCGAGUCCCCCCCUCGGCA